AUUGAACGCUGGCGGCAUGCCUUACACAUGCAAGUCGAACGGCAGCACGGGAGCAAUCCUGGUGGCGAGUGGCGAACGGGUGAGUAAUACAUCGGAACGUGCCCGAUCGUGGGGGAUAACGCAGCGAAAGCUGUGCUAAUACCGCAUACGAUCUACGGAUGAAAGCGGGGGAUCGCAAGACCUCGCGCGGACGGAGCGGCCGAUGGCAGAUUAGGUAGUUGGUGGGGUAAAGGCUCACCAAGCCUGCGAUCUGUAGCUGGUCUGAGAGGACGACCAGCCACACUGGGACUGAGACACGGCCCAGACUCCUACGGGAGGCAGCAGUGGGGAAUUUUGGACAAUGGGCGAAAGCCUGAUCCAGCCAUGCCGCGUGCAGGAUGAAGGCCUUCGGGUUGUAAACUGCUUUUGUACGGAACGAAAAGUCUCCUUCUAAUAAAGGGGGAUCAUGACGGUACCGUAAGAAUAAGCACCGGCUAACUACGUGCCAGCAGCCGCCGUAA
rnacentral:rRNA from 1 species